GGAGAGAUGGCAGAGCGGUUGAAUGCGGCGGUCUCGAAAACCGUUGUGCGUGCAAACGUACCGGGGGUUCGAAUCCCCCUCUCUCCGCCA
rnacentral:tRNA from 1 species